rnacentral:misc_RNA from 1 species
ACACAUUCACACACACACACACACACACACACACACACCCAUCUCAGCCACACUUCGCGCGAAGCCAUGUCCGACAUCUUUCCCGAGUCACAUCCGGAGCAUCCGCUCAACCUCAUUCCGGAGCUCUGCCGCAAGUUUUACGACCUUGGCUGGGCCACCGGCACGGGCGGCGGCAUCUCCAUCAAGAUGGGCGAGAACUACUACAUCGCCCCUAGCGGUGUGCAGAAAGAACGCAUCAUGCCGAACGAGAUUUUCGUGCUGAACGCCAGCCAGGAUGUCGUCGAGGAGCCGCGCACGGAGAAGCAGCUAAAGAUAUCGGAGUGCACACCGCUGUUCUUCAACGCCUACCGCCUGCGCGGCGCUGGGGCGUGCCUGCACACGCACUCCGCCAACUGUGUCCUCAUCAGCCUCCUAUGCGACCGCGAGUUCCGCAUCUCCCACAUCGAGAUGAUCAAGGGCAUUAUCAACAACGAAACGAAGAAGGCGCUGGGCUUUCGCGAUACCCUCGUCGUCCCAAUCAUAGAAAAUACCGACUUUGAGAAGGACCUGACGGCCUCCAUGGCGGAGUGUAUGGAGAGGUACCCAGAGUCGUGCGCGGUGCUCGUGCGCCGGCAUGGCAUGUAUGUCUGGUCCGACACUUGGCAGAAGGCGAAGGGCGCAGUUGAGUGCAUCGACUACUUGAUGGGCCUGGCCAUCCGGAUGAGGACACUAGGUCUUGAGUGGGAGCCGAAGGACGCCAAAUAAGGACUCAAGCAACACAAUGGUGUAUUGCAUAAACGUAUACAACAAAACACACACCACACACACACAUAUAAACUUACGUAUAUGUAUGCGUGUGUGUGUCUUGUAUGCAUUUGCUUUUUUUUUGGAAAACGGUGGCGGGUGAGGUGUGCUGUGUGCGUGCGUGUGCGCUUACGGAAACUUGACGGACCGGCCGUUGCGAGAGAGGGACGUCUUUGCCCCUUGUAUCCGCCACACAGGCAUACGCACAGACGCCAGCGAGCGUCGCUGCUGCUCUCACUCCACCCGAGGAAAUCUGCCGCGCGCUUACCGACCGCCACCUGCACAUGUUCUGGUAACGGACAUGACAUGAG